GAGUUUGAUCGUGGCUCAGAUUGAACGCUGGCGGCAUGCCUUACACAUGCAAGUCGAACGGCAGCAUGAUCUAGCUUGCUAGAUUGAUGGCGAGUGGCGAACGGGUGAGUAAUACAUCGGAACGUGCCCUGUAGUGGGGGAUAACUAGUCGAAAGAUUAGCUAAUACCGCAUACGACCUGAGGGUGAAAGUGGGGGACCGCAAGGCCUCAUGCUAUAGGAGCGGCCGAUGUCUGAUUAGCUAGUUGGUGGGGUAAAGGCCCACCAAGGCGACGAUCAGUAGCUGGUCUGAGAGGACGAUCAGCCACACUGGGACUGAGACACGGCCCAGACUCCUACGGGAGGCAGCAGUGGGGAAUUUUGGACAAUGGGCGAAAGCCUGAUCCAGCAGUGCCGCGUGUGUGAAGAAGGCCUCGGUU
rnacentral:rRNA from 1 species